UACGGAGGUGGCAAGCGUUGUUCGGAUUUACUGGGCGUAAAGGGCGCGUAGGCGGCGUGGUAAGUCAAUUGUGAAAUCUCCGAGCUUAACUCGGAACGGUCAAUUGAUACUGCUGUGCUAGAGUACAGAAGGGGCAAUCGGAAUUCUUGGUGUAGCGGUGAAAUGCGUAGAUAUCAAGAGGAACACCUGAGGUGAAGACGGGUUGCUGGGCUGAUACUGACGCUGAGGCGCGAAAGCUAGGGUAGCAAACGGG
rnacentral:rRNA from 1 species